GACGAACGCUGGCGGCGUGCUUAACACAUGCAAGUCGAACGGAAAGGCCCUGCUUUUGUGGGGUGCUCGAGUGGCGAACGGGUGAGUAACACGUGAGUAACCUGCCCUUGACUUUGGGAUAACUUCAGGAAACUGGGGCUAAUACCGGAUAGGAGCUCCUGCUGCAUGGUGGGGGUUGGAAAGUUUCGGCGGUUGGGGAUGGACUCGCGGCUUAUCAGCUUGUUGGUGGGGUAGUGGCUUACCAAGGCUUUGACGGGUAGCCGGCCUGAGAGGGUGACCGGCCACAUUGGGACUGAGAUACGGCCCAGACUCCUACGGGAGGCAGCAGUGGGGAAUAUUGCACAAUGGGCGGAAGCAUGAUGCAGCAACGCCGCGUGCGGGAUGACGGCCUUCGGGUUGUAAACCGCUUUCGCCUGUGACGAAGCGUGAGGGACGGUAAUGGGUAAAGAAGCACCGGCUAACUACGU
rnacentral:rRNA from 1 species